GUGUCAGCCGCCGCGGUAAGACGAACCGUGCGAACGUUGUUCGGAAUCACUGGGCUUAAAGGGCGCGUAGGCGGGCGGUCAAGUCUGUGGUGAAAUCCUUCGGCUCAACCGGAGAAUAGCUGGAGAUACUGGCCGUCUCGAGGGGGGUAGGGGCAUGUGGAACUUCCGGUGGAGCGGUGAAAUGCGUAGAUAUCGGAAGGAACGCCGGUGGCGAAAGCGACGUGCUGGACCCUUUCUGACGCUGAGGCGCGAAAGCCAGGGGAGCAAACGGGAUUAGAUACCCCGGUAGUCCUGGCCCUAAACGAUGGGUACUAGAUUGUGGGCUAACAUGGGUUCACAGUCGAAGCAAAAGUGUUAAGUACCCCGCCUGGGGAGUAUGGUCGCAAGGCUGAA
rnacentral:rRNA from 1 species